UCCCCAGACUCCUACGGGAGGCAGCAGUAGGGAAUCUUUCACAAUGGGCGAAAGCCUGAUGGAGCAACGCCGCGUGCAGGAUGAAGGCCUUCGGGUUGUAAACUGCUUUUAUAAGCGAGAAAUAUGAUGGUAACUUAUGAAUAAGGAUCGGCUAACUACGUGCCAGCAGCCGCGGUAAUACGUAGGUGGCAAGCGUUAUCCGGAUUUACUGGGUGUAAAGGGCGUGUAGGCGGGGACGCAAGUCAGAUGUGAAAACCAUGGGCUCAACCUGUGGCCUGCAUUUGAAACUGUGUUUCUUGAGUACUGGAGAGGCAGACGGAAUUCCUAGUGUAGCGGUGAAAUGCGUAGAUAUUAGGAGGAACACCAGUGGCGAAGGCGGCUUGCUGGACAGAGACUGACGUUGAGGCUCGAAAGCGUGGGGAGCAAACAGGAUUAGAUACCCUAGUAU
rnacentral:rRNA from 1 species